AUGGCAUCUCAAGUUGAGGCAGGACCAAGUCCCCACACACACAUCAAGGGUGGGCUAGGAGGUAACAAAGCAUGGUGAACAGGUUCCCAAAAGCCAGCUAAGCACACCAGGGACAGGUAAUGAUCUCAUUGCUAGGAGCCUCACAGGCAGACCAAGCCACACAACUGUCACACACAAACAGAGGGUCUAGUUGGUCCCAUGCAGGCUCCCUAUACUGAGAAGAUAACCUCCAUUUGUGGAAUAUUUCAUGAACACAUCGAUUUCAUUUUGUUGAACAUGCUGAUUCAUGAAGGAUAUAAAUCCUUUAAUGAAUAGGACUGUGUUCAGAGUUCAUGAAUAGGACUGUGUUCAGAGUUUAUGAAAUAGCCAGGUGAUAUUUGUAAAUCUUCCUAACAUAUUUCCACAUCAUCAUUUUGGUUUAUUUGAAAGAAGUGUGACAAAGAUGGCAAAGAUUUCUGAGCAGAUUAUGGCACUGUGUUUCUCUUCCUAAAGAUACUUCAGUAGAUAUCCCUGAAAUCCUGAUUGACUCUGUGCUGCAUAAUGCACAUUGAUAAUUUAUAAUCAACUUCACUUUUUGUAGAAGAAUCCAGAUUUCCUGGAGCCCAGUGAGACCCAUAAACCUAUCUGAAAGACUCCAACACACAAGACCUUGAUAUUCUCUGGAUACUGUGUCACUGUCAUUGUUCAGAGAUUGUGAGCUCAUAAGAGACUCUCCAAACACUGUCUCUUUGGAGACACCCACAGAAAACUCACCAUCAGCUUUGGGAAUGAGCUAUCAAAAAAUGUUCUGGAAAAGUUCUUGUCUCCCCAAGCUAGAGCUGUCAUCGUCACUUGAAGAAGCUGAAAACUUGCAGUUCAGAAGGGAGAUAAGGUCACAGCCACAGACCUUUAUUUCACAGUAGAGAUACCUCCAUCGUAAUGGUGCUGGUUUUCCAGGAUGCAACAAAGUGCUCACUGAACAGAGAAGGUUCUGCACAGGGAAGGAGUCAGGCUGGCUAGUCAGUGAGCCCUACGGAUCUUCCUGAGACCACCAAUCUAGUACUCAGAAGACAGAUGUGUGCUACUACACACAGCCUUCACAUAUACAAAGCAAGGACUGUACCAAAGCUUUGAACCCAGGAACAUGAACAUUCUAGGGGUAUAUAGAGACUGGAAGUUUUGAACAAAAGAUUGUGCCUCGCUCCCUCCCCUUCCCUCCACACGCUUCUUUAUUCUGCAGAAGGAUGCUAGGAUGAUGCCUGACAUUUCCCUGGAAGUCUGAAGCCAGAAUGUUUUAUAUUGAUGUUAUGAAGCAAGAUGCAUAAUCGGACUAUCAUCUAUACUGCCAAGGUGCCCCGCUCUGUUAUCUCUGAACCGUUGGUUAAAAGAACCAAUUCUUCUCUAGACAGUAAAAACACAGCCGCUCCAUCCCACGCGUUAAAAUAGAGAACCAAGCAUUGAAGGGCCGAGGACGUGGUCCAAUUGGUAGAGUGCUAGCCUCGCAUGUAUGAGUCCCUGGGCUCCAUCCCCAGUAUCACAUAA